rnacentral:rRNA from 1 species
CGAGACAGGUGGUGCAUGGUUGUCGUCAGCUCGUGUCGUGAGAUGUUGGGUUAAGUCCCGCAACGAGCGCAACCCCUGCCUUCUGUAGCCAGCAUUCAGGAUGGGAACUCAGGAGGGACUGCCCGGGAGAACCGGGAGGAAGGCGGGGAUGACGUCAAAUCAUCAUGCCCCUUAUGGCCUGGGCUACACACGUGCUACAAUGGCGUAAACAAAGGGAAGCGAGCCUGCGAGGGUAAGCGAAUCCCAAAAAUAACGUCCCAGUUCGGAUUGCAGUCUGCAACUCGAGUGCAUGAAGCUGGAAUCGCUAGUAAUCGCGGAUCAGAAUGCCGCGGUGAAUACGUUCCCGGGUCUUGUACACACCGCCCGUCACACCAUGGGAGUCGGGAAUGCCCGAAGCCGGUGGCCCGAUCGAAAGAAGGGAGCCGUCGAAGGCAGGCCGGAUGACUGGGGUGAAGUCGUAACAAGGUAGCCGUAUCGGAAGGUGCGGCUGGAUCACCUC